UACGAGGGGGGCGAGCGUUGUUCGGAAUUAUUGGGCGUAAAGGGUGCGUAGGCGGUUUGGUAAGUCUCGUGUGAAAUCUCCGGGCUCAACUCGGAGCCUGCACGAGAAACUGCCGGGCUUGAGUGUGGGAGAGGUGAGUGGAAUUCCUGGUGUAGCGGUGAAAUGCGUAGAUAUCAGGAGGAACACCUGUGGCGAAAGCGGCUCACUGACCAUAACUGACGCUGAUGCACGAAAGCUAGGGGAGCAAACAGG
rnacentral:rRNA from 1 species